AUGUCUAAGUAUAAGCAAUCUAUACAGUGAAACUGCGAAUGGCUCAUUAAAUCAGUUAUCGUUUAUUUGAUAGUACCUUACUACUUGGAUAACCGUGGUAAUUCUAGAGCUAAUACAUGCUAAAAACCUCGACUUCGGAAGGGGUGUAUUUAUUAGAUAAAAAACCAAUGCCCUUCGGGGCUCCUUGGUGAUUCAUGAUAACUUAACGAAUCGCAUGGCCUUGUGCCGGCGAUGGUUCAUUCAAAUUUCUGCCCUAUCAACUUUCGAUGGUAGGAUAGUGGCCUACCAUGGUUUCAACGGGUAACGGGGAAUUAGGGUUCUAUUCCGGAGAGGGAGCCUGAGAAACGGCUACCACAUCCAAGGAAGGCAGCAGGCGCGCAAAUUACCCAAUCCCGACACGGGGAGGUAGUGACAAUAAAUACUGAUACAGGGCUCUUUUGGGUCUUGUAAUUGGAAUGAGUACAAUUUAAAUCCCUUAACGAGGAACAAUUGGAGGGCAAGUCUGGUGCCAGCAGCCGCGGUAAUUCCAGCUCCAAUAGCGUAUAUUAAAGUUGUUGCAGUUAAAAAGCUCGUAGUUGAACCUUGGGCCUGGCUGGCCGGUCCGCCUCACCGCGUGCACUGGUCCGGCCGGGCCUUUCCUCCUGGGGAGCCGCAUGCCCUUCACUGGGUGUGUCGGGGAACCAGGACUUUUACUUUGAAAAAAUUAGAGUGUUCAAAGCAGGCCUAUGCUCGAAUACAUUAGCAUGGAAUAAUAGAAUAGGACGUGUGGUUCUAUUUUGUUGGUUUCUAGGACCGCCGUAAUGAUUAAUAGGGAUAGUCGGGGGCAUCAGUAUUCAAUUGUCAGAGGUGAAAUUCUUGGAUUUAUUGAAGACUAACUACUGCGAAAGCAUUUGCCAAGGAUGUUUUCAUUAAUCAGUGAACGAAAGUUAGGGGAUCGAAGACGAUCAGAUACCGUCGUAGUCUUAACCAUAAACUAUGCC
rnacentral:rRNA from 1 species